rnacentral:rRNA from 1 species
CCUACGGGCGGCUGCAGUGGGGAAUAUUGGACAAUGGGGGCAACCCUGAUCCAGCCAUGCCGCGUGUGUGAAGAAGGCCCUCGGGUUGUAAAGCACUUUCAGUGAGGAAGAACGCCUGGUGGUUAAUACCCAUCAGGAAAGACAUCACUCACAGAAGAAGCACCGGCUAACUCCGGGCCAGCAGCCGCGGUAAUACGGAGGGUGCGAGCGUUAAUCGGAAUUACUGGGCGUAAAGCGCGCGUAGGUGGCUUGAUAAGCCGGUUGUGAAAGCCCCGGGCUCAACCUGGGAACGGCAUCCGGACCUGUCAAGCUAGAGUGCAGGAGAGGAAGGUAGAAUUCCCGGUGUAGCGGUGAAAUGCGUAGAGAUCGGGAGGAAUACCAGUGGCGAAGGCGGCCUUCUGGACUGACACUGACACUGAGGUGCGAAAGCGUGGGUAGCAAACAGGAUUAGAUACCCUAGUAGUC